rnacentral:rRNA from 1 species
GACGAACGCUGGCGGCGUGCUUAACACAUGCAAGUCGAACGGAAAGGCCCUGCUUUUGUGGGGUGCUCGAGUGGCGAACGGGUGAGUAACACGUGAGUAACCUGCCCUUGACUUUGGGAUAACUUCAGGAAACUGGGGCUAAUACCGGAUAGGAGCUCCUGCUGCAUGGUGGGGGUUGGAAAGUUUCGGCGGUUGGGGAUGGACUCGCGGCUUAUCAGCUUGUUGGUGGGGUAGUGGCUUACCAAGGCUUUGACGGGUAGCCGGCCUGAGAGGGUGACCGGCAACAGUGGGACUGAGGUACGGGCCAGAAUCCUACGGGAGACAGGAGUAGGGAAUAUUGCACAGUGGGCGGAAGCCUGAUGCAGCAACGCCGCGUGCGGGAUGACGGCCUUCGGGUUGUAAACCGCUUUCGCCUGUGACGAAGCGUGAGUGACGGUAAUGGGUAAAGAAGCACCGGCUAACUACGUG